AUUGAACGCUGGCGGCAGGCCUAACACAUGCAAGUCGAACGAGUGGCGGACGGGUGAGUAAUGUCUGGGAAACUGCCCGAUGGAGGGGGAUAACUACUGGAAACGGUAGCUAAUAACGCAUACCAUCGGAUGUGCCCAGAUGGGAUGAGCUGGUAGGUGGGGUAACGGCUCACCUAGGGGAUGAUGCCUAGCUGGUCGGAGGGGAUGACCAGCCACACUGGAACUGAGCCACGGUCAGAACUCCAACGGGAGGCAGAAGUGGGAAAUAUUGCACAUUGGGCAAAAGCCUGAUGAAGCCAUGCCGCGUAUAUGAAGAAGGCCUUCGGGUUGUAAAGUACUUUCAGCGGGGAGGCGUUACCCGCAGAAGAAGCACCGGCUAACUCCGUGCCAGCAGCCGCGGUAAUAC
rnacentral:rRNA from 1 species